CCUACGGGUGGCAGCAGUGGGGAAUAGUGGGCAAUGGAGGCAACUCUGACCCAGCAACGCCGCGUGAAUGAUGAAGGUCUUCGGAUUGUAAAGUUCUGUGAUGGGGGAGGAACACAAUGACGGUACCCCAAUAGCAAGCCACGGCUAACUACGUGCCAGCAGCCGCGGUAAUACGUAGUGGGCAAGCUUUAUCCGGAAUGACGGGGCGUAAAGGGUGCGGAGGGGGUUUAGUCAGGUGGCGGGGUAAUUCCGGGGCUCCACCUCGGCGCUCCCGCCCAAACUAUUAGCCUAGAGUGCAGGUGGGGUAAGUGGACUUCCUCUUGUAGCUGUGUACUGCGUAGAUAUUAGGAG
rnacentral:rRNA from 1 species